AGACAGAAGAAGAGGCAGAACUCUACAGAGCCAAUGCCAAACACAUAUCUAAAGCCAAAGAAUUUUGUUUCGCUACCCUUCGUUGAAGUAAAAACAGCUCCAAGAGUAUUCCCUGGAGUGUGAGAUGGUUCUCUCACAUACGGGGUUCAAAGACACUGUGAGGCGUGUAGCAUAGCUGAAAGUGUCUGUAUGUAAUAAUGCCUUUAUGAUGUUGUUUUGUUUCUGGCUUGCCUGUACCUGAAUUAUCUGAAGACAUUGUUUGAGGCUAUGAAAAAAUAUGAAUAAUAUUAGGCCUUGAGAUCAAAAAUCAUUUUUUACUUCCAUGGUUGUUAGCUGCCAAUAUCCCACGCACAGCUCUCAAUUUCCAAAGCAGCAGUGAAAUGCUGGAGAGAUCAGAAAAGAAGAGAACGGCAGUGUCAACUCACCUCUGGUCUCUUCUUGUUAGCAAGUUCAAGAGACACUUGGCGAUAUUGACUGCAGAAUACAAAGAUGAAAUUCAAGGGUUCCUAGAGGGUGUCUGUCCGUAGAAACAAAGGACAUCCUCAUCUUGAAAACGCUUCAUCCACCUCUUCCUUGUCUCCUCUCAAACACAUCUUGGCUCUUGUGUGGAAAUGUGUGGCCUCCCCCUCUCAGGUUGCAGCAUCGGGGGUCCUCCCUCCUUGGGUCCUCGGGUCCCCACUGUCACUUGCCCUUACUCCCCGAGGAGGUUCUCUUUCUCUAGCUUGAGGCCGGUUCUCACGCUGGACCAUGAUCAUAAGCCUCCAGAUAAUAGAAGUUUUCACCCUCCUUCUAAAUGACCUCCGCUCCUGAUAGAGAAUUAAAGGUGUUCGAUAUUCCAUAAAAAACUGGCUGGUUGACCCUGCGAAGUAGUUACUGAAGAAACUUCUUACUGCUCAGGACUAUCUUUGGCUUCCGCAUAUAAAGGAUCAGUGUGAGCCACAGAAACUUCCCCAAGCUAUGCAAGGUUGUGCCAAGUUCUGUGGGGAAUAGAAAGUUUUAGGUGAGUUGGUUUGAUUUUUGUAAUUUCCUAAAGACAUUUGACAUCAGAAGCUUCUGGGGCUCCAGAUGUCUGGGUCUCUGUGGCAUGACCCAGCGUGAGGCAAGAUGCCGAGAGAACAGACAUCGCUCGUUCUGCAGCCCUCUGCAGAUAAUUAGCAUGGCUAAGAAGCAAACAAAUUCCUGCCUACUGCUCUAUGUGGCUCUUGCGGAAGUCUGGGAGAGAGGGACUUUUUCUUUCUCAGUCGAGGCACGUGGAGGUGACUCGGGAGAGAGGCAGGGAAGAUGAAAACGCCGACUUGUGAAGCCACACCGCGACAUGCUCUGUGAACUUCUGGUUUGCAAAUGAAAUUUCUCCCACAGACAAUGCAGGCAGCAUCAAGCCCUGAUUGAAGACACAACUCAUGAAAGUCUCCAAUUCAGAUUUGGAAAAACCUCCAGCCACUGAAGGCAGAAGGCAGAGCUAGAAAUAAUGAACCACAUUAACUAAGAAAUCGCAAAAGCCAUCUCUAUUAGACAGCUGUGCAGGUCAAAAGGAAACCAGACAGGAGACAUCAAGAGGAAACUCAGGCUCCCCAGGAUAAUUGCAGUGCAAUUAAUCCAGGGUGAGUCACGGCCCUGGUGAAAGUGGGAUCCUGCUGCAGUUAGGAGGGAGAGGGUGCUGGGACCAUCCCUGGCUCUGUCAGCCGCAAUUCUCCUUCCUCACCAUCUGUG
rnacentral:lncRNA from 1 species